UUUUUUGGUUGUAACAUGACUUAUGUCAGGGUGGGAUAAUUUUUGGAUAAUCUUCUUAAACCUUGGUGUUAGGUACCUUUUUAUCCUUCGUCAUCAUUUCCCUUUCAUAUCAUUCUUUCUUUCAUAUCGGGUACUAGAGAUUUUUCAAAUUUAUGGUCUUUUUUCUUAUCUUUUUUUCAAUUUUUUUGUUGAAAAUGCCAUGUUUUCGACAUCUUACUUUUUUUUCUUGCUUUUUAUUUUUCUUUGACCAAAUUUUCUAGUACCCCUAACCCCAAACUUAAAUGUUGCUAACUUCCAAGAGCAGCCCCAAAUUUAGUGAUUAGCAUAUAGAGAAA
rnacentral:lncRNA from 1 species